AUUGAACGCUGGCGGCAGGCCUAACACAUGCAAGUCGAACGAGUGGCGGACGGGUGAGUAAUGUCUGGGAAACUGCCCGAUGGAGGGGGAUAACUACUGGAAACGGUAGCUAAUACCGCAUACCAUCGGAUGUGCCCAGAUGGGAUUAGCUAGUAGGUGGGGUAACGGCUCACCUAGGCGACGAUCCCUAGCUGGUCUGAGAGGAUGAUCAGCAACACUGGGACUGAGACACGGUCCAAACUCCUACGGGAGGCAGCAGUGGGGAAUAUUGCACAAUGGGCGCAAGCCUGAUGCAGCCAUGCCGCGUGUAUGAAGAAGGCCUUCGGGUUGUAAAGUACUUUCAGCGGGGAGGCGUUACCCGCAGAAGAAGCACCGGCUAACUCCGUGCCAGCAGCCGCGGUAAUUC
rnacentral:rRNA from 1 species